AUGAAUCCGUGGGGCGGGAAAAUUCCACCAGUUACCUGUAUUUGUUCUCAAGUCCAACACCAUGGCACGAAUGAACCAAAACGAAAACCAUUUCUGGAAGAAAUUGAUGCCUUGGAGGAGGUUCGGCUAGCGAUAGAGUACAUAGUGAUUCCUAGGGGAGAGGCCAUUGAACUUCUUCCGAGACUGCCAGGCGAACAAAUUGCGCUUCCUUCUGCUGAGGUGGCUACUGCAGUCCUGGCAAGAUGA